CUUGCUCUCGGGUGACGAGCGGCGGACGGGUGAGUAAUGUCUGGGAAACUGCCUGAUGGAGGGGGAUAACUACUGGAAACGGUAGCUAAUACCGCAUAACGUCGCAAGACCAAAGAGGGGGACCUUCGGGCCUCUUGCCAUCAGAUGUGCCCAGAUGGGAUUAGCUAGUAGGUGGGGUAACGGCUCACCUAGGCGACGAUCCCUAGCUGGUCUGAGAGGAUGACCAGCCACACUGGAACUGAGACACGGUCCAGACUCCUACGGGAGGCAGCAGUGGGGAAUAUUGCACAAUGGGCGCAAGCCUGAUGCAGCCAUGCCGCGUGUAUGAAGAAGGCCUUCGGGUUGUAAAGUACUUUCAGCGAGGAGGAAGGCAUUGUGGUUAAUAACCACAGUGAUUGACGUUACUCGCAGAAGAAGCACCGGCUAACUCCGUGCCAGCAGCCGCGGUAAUACGGAGGGUGCAAGCGUUAAUCGGAAUUACUGGGCGUAAAGCGCACGCAGGCGGUCUGUCAAGUCGGAUGUGAAAUCCCCGGGCUCAACCUGGGAACUGCAUUCGAAACUGGCAGGCUAUUAGUCUUGUAGAGGGGGGUAGAAUUCCAGGUGUAGCGG
rnacentral:rRNA from 1 species